rnacentral:rRNA from 1 species
UACGUAGGGGGCAAGCGUUGUCCGGAAUUAUUGGGCGUAAAGAGCGUGUAGGCGGUCCGGUAAGUCAGCUGUGAAAGUCAAGGGCUCAACCCUUGAAAGCCGGUUGAUACUGUCGGGCUAGAGUCCGGAAGAGGCGAGUGGAAUUCCCGGUGUAGCGGUGAAAUGCGCAGAUAUCGGGAGGAACACCAAUGGCGAAGGCAGCUCGCUGGGACGGUACUGACGCUGAGACGCGAAAGCGUGGGGAGCAACAGG